rnacentral:rRNA from 1 species
ACUCCUACGGGAGGCAGCAGUGAGGAAUAUUGGUCUAUGGGCGCAAGCCUGAACCAGCCAUGCCGCGUGCAGGAUGACGGUCCUAUGGAUUGUAAACUGCUUUUGUACAGGAAGAAACAGUUCUACGUGUAGAACCUUGACGGUACUGUAAGAAUAAGGAUCGGCUAACUCCGUGCCAGCAGCCGCGGUAAU